GAUGAACGCUGGCGGCGUGCCUAAUACAUGCAAGUCGAGCGAACAGACGAGGAGCUUGCUCCUCUGACGUUAGCGGCGGACGGGUGAGUAACACGUGGAUAACCUACCUAUAAGACUGGGAUAACUUCGGGAAACCGGAGCUAAUACCGGAUAAUCUAUUGAACCGCAUGGUUCAAUAGUGAAAGACGGUUUUGCUGUCACUUAUAGAUGGAUCAGCGCCGCAUUAGCUAGUUGGUAAGGUAACGGCUUACCAAGGCAACGAUGCGUAGCCGACCUGAGAGGGUGAACGGCCACACUGGAACUGAGACACGGUCCUGACUCCGACGGGAGGCAGCAGUAGGGAAUCUUCCGCAAUGGGCGAAAGCCUGACGGAGCAACGCCGCGUGAGUGAUGAAGGUCUUCGGAUCGUAAAACUCUGUUAGUAGGGAAGAACAAAUGUGUAAGUAACUAUGCACGUCUUGACGGUACCUAAUCAGAAAGCCACGGCUAACUACGUG
rnacentral:rRNA from 1 species